UGGUUAGGCCUAUGCCACCCACAGCUGACAGGGUUUUGGAUCAGGUCAUCAAGUUGAUGACAGACAUGGUGAUGGACAGCCUGACUGAUCUGUCCAAGUCUGCAAUGGAGGAUGGUAAGUGAAAGUACCUCUUCAUCUGCAUAGGACUUCAUUGUAACAUGAUGCUCAUUACAUUGCGUUUUAUGAUGUAAACUUCACUGGUUGUGUCCAAAAUGGCACCUUCCAUGUUUAGUGCACUACUUUUGACCCUAUGGGCCCUGUUCAAAAGUAGUGCACUAUAAAUGGAAGAGAAUGGCUUUUGGGAUGCAGUGACUGACUUCCGUGGUUGCGUUCUCUUCUCCCAGUUAUUGUACCCAGCUCGGUCACACCAGCUUGCUCUUCUUACUUAGACACCAGCAAUGCCGCAAGUGACGUCAUUCGUGGUGUUGUGGCUGACCUUAAUGCUACUGAGGAAUUCCCUGCCAGUGGCCUUAGCCCAGCUGAUGUAAAGGCUGACGGCAUGGCCCACCUUCCCUCUGCCAGGGGGGAAGAGACUAAGAAGAACAGGAAGUGGCAUUUCCUACCCAAAAUUGUCAAGAUUCCAAAGAUCAGGAUUAAGCUGUUCAAGACAAAGGGGGAACCAAAGAGCCACCAUGAACAGGAUACUCUGCCUACCAAACGUCUCAGAGAGACUCGUAUUUCACAGGGUAAGUGAUAAGCAUCGAUAAUGUCAUAUUGAUGUAUCACCCUAUGGCCAGCUUGUUAAAACGGUGACUACAGAUACAGGCGGACAGACAGAUACACACAUUAAUUUUCUGAUUAUGAAAUACUCUUAUCACAGAUGCCGAGUGUGAGGUUCCAUCCACUUCCCCACCCAAGGAGGCCCUGACAACCACACUGGCCCCUGCUCCCCAGGAGUCCCAGUCCCGUAAACGCCCUCUCAUAGUCAGGGUUGUUGCAUCCCCACACCUACCAGUGAAGCACCACAGGCUAGUAUGAGCGGUAGCUCUGGGUUGUUGUGAACUAACACCUGGCUACUAAGUAGAUGUGCUUUUCAGGAAGCCAAGGCACAUAGGCUUUUCUGGGACCAUUCCCAUUUGACAUCUUUCUGCAGUGGAGCAUUUCAAAAGGUGUGUGAUAUAUCCAUUCGAAUGUCCUUAACUAUAGGCUUAGCUAUGGUAGUUAGAUUUGGAAUGAAUUUGCCAUAAUAGUUAAGGAAGGAAAGGUAAGACCUGAACUCAGUGGUGUUUCUAGGAAUGGGAGCCUUCUCAAUAGCUUCAGUUUUCUGUUUCAUGGGGUGUAUCCCCUCUGCAUCUAUCACAACCUAAAUAGGCUAUGCUGUUCUGGAAGAAAGAACAUCUCUCUUUUAACUUUCAGAUUGCAGACUUUGUCUUUUUGGGACUUCUUCAAGAUUUCGCAUGUGUCACGCAUAUCAUCAAUAUAACAGAUUACCCCUUCUAUACCUUGUAGGAUCUGAACCAUCAUUUUCUGAAAAAUAUGACACACAGGCAACACCAUAAGGAAGCCUGUUGACCUUAAAACAACCCCUUAUGUGUAUUCAUGCUGAGAUAGUGCUUAGACCACUCCUCUAACUGUACUUGCUCGUAUGCCUGUGACAAAUCCAGCUUUGUUAACGUCUCACCCCCGGUCAGCUUUUUGAACAAGUCCUGUGUUUUUGGUAAGGGAUACUGAUCUACUUCCAGCCACGGAUUGAUAGUUACCUUGUAAUCUCCACAUAUUCUUACAGUACUGUCUGUUUUCAGGAUACACACAAUUGGAGCAGCCCAUUGACUGUAGUUGGAGGAAGGACCCCUUCUGACUCCAACGUAACUAGCUGUUUUUCAACCGCUUCUCUAAGUGCAUACGUACUGGGCAAGGACUGCAGAACUUAUGUGCAGCCCUAUUAGUUACAUGUAGCUUGGCUGUGAUACCUUUUAGCAUCCCUUGCUCUGGCUGAAACAAAUAUUUUUCACACAAACCAUCUACUGUCUCUACAGCUGUUACUGUGUACAUGUGACCAGUCUAGCUUCAACUGACUGAUCCAGUCUCUACCCAGCAGGGCAGGACCAUUUCCUUCUACCACCAUCAAGUUUCAAAAAGUUGUACUCCCAUUACACUUGACCUUGACUGAGAUUUUCCCACUUAGAACUAAUUACUGUAUGUUUUUAACACCCAGUUUGCAGGGCUCAAUUUUACCCUUUUGAACUUGCGGGUGUAUAACCUCUCUGAUAUCAAACUGCUGCACCUGUAUCAACUUUCAUGUUGAGUCUCACAUCAUCUAUCCUUACAUACAAAGUCUUUACGUCUACUGCAAACAGUUCAGUUCCUUUUACGUUACCCAACUCAUAGUCAGUGGUGAAAACGGCUGAGGUCCCUUUAUCAGAGUUCUCACUCUCAUUUGAGAUGUAAUGCUCCAAACUCUGGCACUUGAGUGCGAUGCAAUGCUCCUGUGUUGAAAUGACGUUCUUGUCCUCUCUCUCGCUGGUGUGCGUUGCCCUGAUCAUCGUUGCUCCACUCGUCUUUUGCCUCGUUUAAUUGUUUCCCACAUGACGCGAGCGGCAAGUCAUGGCUACGUGUCCUUUCUUCUUGCACUCCAGAAGCUCAAAAUCCACGUAGCGCCACUCAUCUGGCUUGUGCCCUUUCCCACACAACGGUAACAUGGUUUACAGGUUGCCUCCGUUUUCUUGGCAACGCUUUUCUUCUCAACUGCAUUUGCUUUGAAAGUAUUUNNNNNNNNNNCACUGGGUAAGUACAACACAACCCCCUACUAGCCUAACACAUAACAACACACAGCUGUCUGUGCGGGUCGCUACAGUCCAUUAACACAUUGUAAGUCUUUCUGCCAACAAUCGUCAGAAAAAAAUGUUUUAGACAUAUCCUCGUACUUGAGCCCAUUAACGUUAGCUUCAAAACAUUCCUCGAAGUGGAAAUUUUCGGCCUCGCCCAGCGACCUCUUCCGUGCUAGCUUUUCUACAGACCGUCUCGAUGGAGGUAGCACUUNNNNNNNNNNACCUCUCUGAUAUCAAACUGCUGCACCUGUAUCAACUUUCAUGUUGAGUCUCACAUCAUCUAUCCUUACAUACAAAGUCUUUACGUCUACUGCAAACAGUUCAGUUCCUUUUACGUUACCCAACUCAUAGUCAGUGGUGAAAACGGCUGAGGUCCCUUUAUCAGAGUUCUCACUCUCAUUUGAGAUGUAAUGCUCCAAACUCUGGCACUUGAGUGCGAUGCAAUGCUCCUGUGUUGAAAUGACGUUCUUGUCCUCUCUCUCGCUGGUGUGCGUUGCCCUGAUCAUCGUUGCUCCACUCGUCUUUUGCCUCGUUUAAUUGUUUCCCACAUGACGCGAGCGGCAAGUCAUGGCUACGUGUCCUUUCUUCUUGCACUCCAGAAGCUCAAAAUCCACGUAGCGCCACUCAUCUGGCUUGUGCCCUUUCCCACACAACGGUAACAUGGUUUACAGGUUGCCUCCGUUUUCUUGGCAACGCUUUUCUUCUCAACUGCAUUUGCUUUGAAAGUAUUUUGUGAAGACUGCAGUGUGCUUUUCCUUGUUACUUCAAAAGAAAAUCCCAUAUCCACAGCCAGUGCUAAUGUUAAAUCUUGUGUGAGCUACAUUCAGUAAACGGUCUCUCAGCGGUCUUUUAACGCCACACACAAAUAUCACGUACUGACAGACUGAAUUUUCUUAAACUAGCGAAAUACUCAAUCGACUCUCCCUCGAGUUGACUCCUUGCAUGAUACUUACAUCUUUCAGCAAUACAAUUUGUCAUCGGUAUGUAGUGACCUUUCAACAGCGCAACCAACUGUCAACGUUGUUUCACUUGGUUUCUGUGGCGCAUUGAAGUCCUGUAAUGACCUGACUAGAUCAUAAAGGAACAAUUGUCCAGACAGAGGCUUGAGUUUACGAAUUGACGGUUUAUUAACCCAACUUUACGCAGACUACUGUUUGGCCGUAGCCCACACCAAAUAAAUUAAAGAUAACCCACAAGCCGACCGUGACCUUCUCUUGUGAAAGCCAGACGUAAGAGAGUGAAGAAAGCCUAAACCUGGACUUAACUUCCAAUGCCCAUCCCCCUGCCCAACCCCCCUCCACGCCACUCCACCAACCGCCAGGAUGCCCGGAAUCAGAACAUUCCAGGCAUUACUGUGAUUGGCAGAUAGCAGGUGGAUUGGCAUGUCGGACCCCGCGAACACUGGGUAAGUACAACACAACCCCCUACUAGCCUAACACAUAACAACACACAGCUGUCUGUGCGGGUCGCUACAGUCCAUUAACACAUUGUAAGUCUUUCUGCCAACAAUCGUCAGAAAAAAAUGUUUUAGACAUAUCCUCGUACUUGAGCCCAUUAACGUUAGCUUCAAAACAUUCCUCGAAGUGGAAAUUUUCGGCCUCGCCCAGCGACCUCUUCCGUGCUAGCUUUUCUACAGACCGUCUCGAUGGAGGUAGCACUUUCUUUCUUGCUCUGUUCCCCUUCGGACAAAAACUCCGAUACCUCAUCGCCAAUCUGUUGCAUCCCUGGUUAAGGAAAGCAGGUUGUUUUUAGUUAUUGUAAAGAAAAACUCAACAGUAUAAAGCAUUAACAUCACGAAGAUGACAGUGGAUACUAAAUAGCUGGUUCCAAGCGGAGUCCAUCUGCACCCUUUCAAAGGAAACGAUUGAAUAACUUUAGUGUGUAGGCUAGUUACAGUGUGUAGCCUAGUUGGAGCCAUAAAUAUCCAGCGGUCAUCUGAAGUAUGCAAGCCAUGACAAUGUAUAAAUGAGUAUGAUUAAAAUCAAAUGUUUCCCUGUAUCAAUACUAGCUGAAUAUGAAACAGCUAUAACGCUUCUUGGCUCUUCCCUACAGGACAAUGAGAAGCGGUCAACGUUGCAUGCCGCUGCCUAUCUAGGACAGUGGUUCUUAACCUGGGUUCGGUGGAGGUCAAGACACACAUCCGACUCAUGAUUCGUGAUGACACGC
rnacentral:lncRNA from 13 species